rnacentral:lncRNA from 1 species
AGACAACAACUCUGCCAACAACUUUUCCCAAGAGAUAUUUUUAUCUCUUUUGCGGGCCUUCAAGCCAAUUGGGCCUAUCGUGUGUGAAGUAUGAGUUGGGCCAUAUUUUAAUAUGUAGAGCAGGUUUAAUACCUGCUCUGCUUCCGCUAGGCUCUGUUUCGAUUCUUGUUGCGUUCUUUGAUACCUGCUCUGCUUCCGCUAGGCUCUGUUUCGAUUCUUGCUACGUUCUUUGAUUGUUUCUUGGACUUUUUCUUGCCCCUUAUUGAAAUGGAUGUCUCGGAAUCUGACAUAUCAGCCAGUGCCAUGGAUCAACCUGCAAAUCCUACCAGCCCCU